CGCUCCCCAGUCCAGCACCACCACCGACUGCACUUUCUUUCCCCAGGGAUUAACCGAAUCCUCUUGACCACGACGAGGUUCUUAUCAACCGGGGAGGAUUUUCACAGCGCUUUGUUUUUCUAGAGAGACGCUUACACUGUACUCACCUUGGUCGUGCUUAUCAAAAUUUGGCAAUCACCACACUCGCACCGCAAUUGCCCUAGCCUUGCACUAUUCGGCACUACCAACAACCGCCACCGUAUUUCCGAAGCACCACAGCGCACAGAGAAAUGUGAAAUGCAGAACCAGAAAUUCCCAAACCGCUUCAACUCGAUGCCGCGUGCACUGGCAAGACUUUUCACGACCACGCACUGCAAAGAGUUAAACGGAAA